UCUAGAACUCGAGAUAUGGGCUGAACACUAAAUAAUAUCUGGGCUGCAGGACAGAUUCCGACUACUCCAUUGUUGUUACAAUUUGAACUUGAAAACGGUCUUUUUAAAUCUUGGACUCUGCAUGAAAGUUUUAGGCAUAUGUCUUAGCUUUCCAUA
rnacentral:pre_miRNA from 1 species